GACUGUGUCAACACAGGAGCUACUUAUACUUUGACAGAUGAUGGUACUGUUCAUGUCCUCAAUGACACUUUUAGUGGUGGGAAGUAAGGG